rnacentral:rRNA from 1 species
UCGGGAAUUUUGCGCAAUGGACGAAAGUCUGACGCAGCAACGCCGCGUGAGGGAUGACGGCCUUCGGGUUGUAAACCUCUUUUCUCAGGGAAGAUGAUGACGGUACCUGAGGAAUAAGCCACGGCUAACUACGUGCCAGCAGCCGCGGUAAUACGUAGGUGGCAAGCGUUGUCCGGAUUUAUUGGGUUUAAAGGGUGCGUAGGCGGCCUAUUAAGUCAGUUCUGAAAUAUCCCGGCUUAACCGGGAGGGUGGGAUUGAUACUGAUGGGCUUGAGUGGAAUCGAGGUAGGCGGAAUUGACGGUGUAGCGGUGAAAUGCUUAGAUAUCGUCAAGAACACCGAUAGUGUAGACAGCUUACUAGACUUCAACUGACGCUGAGGCACGAAAGUGUGGGGAUCAAA